UUUAAAUGGCCGCAGUAUACUAACUGUGCAAAGGUAGCAUAAUCAUUAGUCUUUUAAUUGAAGGCUGGUAUGAAUGGUUGGACGAGAUAUUAACUGUUUCAUGAAAAUUUAUAAUAGAAUUUUAUUUUUUAGUCAAAAAGCUAAAAUAAUAUUUAAAGACGAGAAGACCCUAUAAAUCUUUAUAUAUAGAUUAUUGGAAUUUUUUAGAUUAUUUUUAUUAUAAUAAUUGAUUAUAUUUUAUUGGGGUGAUAUUAAAAUUUAAAAAACUUUUAAUUUUAUUUUAUCAUUUAUUUAUGAAUAAUUGAUCCGUUAAUAACGAUUAAAAAAAUAAGUUACUUUAGGGAUAACAGCGUAAUUUUUUUGGAGAGUUCAUAUCGAUAAAAAAGAUUGCGACCUCGAUGUUGGAUUAAGAUAU
rnacentral:rRNA from 1 species